AUUGAACGCUGGCGGCAGGCCUAACACAUGCAAGUCGAGCGGAGCGGCGGACGGGUGAGUAAUGCCUAGGAAUCUGCCUGGUAGUGGGGGAUAACGUCCGGAAACGGGCGCUAAUACCGCAUACUAUCAGAUGAGCCUAAGUCGGAUUAGCUAGUUGGUGGGGUAAAGGCCUACCAAGGCGACGAUCUGUAGCGGGUCUGAGAGGAUGAUCCGCCACACUGGGACUGAGACACGGCCCAGACUCCUACGGGAGGCAGCAGUGGGGAAUAUUGGACAAUGGGGGGAACCCUGAUCCAGCCAUGCCGCGUGUAUGAAGAAGGCCCUAGGGUUGUAAAGUACUUUCAGUCGGGAGGCGUUACCGACAGAAGAAGCACCGGCUAACUCCGUGCCAGCAGCCGCGGUAAUUC
rnacentral:rRNA from 1 species